CUUCAUUUUAAACUAAAGCUUUCUCUCACAACAUACCAAAAGCUCUCCCUUCUCUCUAGCUCUUGGCCUUGGUGGCUUUUUGGCUUGGUGAUGCAAUCUUUUGGAGGUUCUUUCAUGUGAGAGACUUCUUCCAUCAUCCUACAUAAAAAAGGAAAGAGGAAGGAAUGCCCAUUUAGUUGGUGCCAAGUGGACAAUUAAAAAAAUGCGUCAUGUUAUAAGUGGAUUAAGAGGUGAACGAUCAUUCUUAUAAGGUAUAAGGUUGUUCCAAUAGUUAUUUUAUUGAAAUUCUAUAUAAAAAAAAUCAUGAUCUAUGAUUUGGCCUUACUCCCAUACGCAAAUACUCACUGAAACUAUUUCUUCUCACAUUAUUUUUCAAUUUCAAUCAUUAGGCAAAUGACUUGGAAAGGAGAUUUAAGGUUAGGAAAAUGAUCUUCAUCGAACCAUAUACACUUGGAAACCAAGUAGAAGUCUUGUUAUAUUUAAUGUAAUUUGAUUUCGGCCAAAAAUUAUAUUAGUUGUAUUGAUUUGAAUUUGAUUUUGACAUGAUGAGAUUUUAAUAUAAGAUUAAUGUUAGGUAAAAAAUGAAGAUUUGUACAUAAAGAGAAUAAUGAAAAUAGUAAAUG